CCUUCGAUAGCUCAGUUGGUAGAGCGGUGGACUGUAGAAGUGCUAAAUACGAUGUAGAAAUCCAUAGGUCGCUGGUUCAAAUCCGGCUCGAAGGA
rnacentral:tRNA from 1 species